rnacentral:rRNA from 1 species
UACGUAGGGAGCAAGCGUUGUCCGGAAUCAUUGGGCGUAAAGCGCGCGUAGGUGGCUUCGUAAGUCCGUUGUGAAAGUCAAAGGCUCAACCUUUGAAAGCCGAUGGAUACUGUGAAGCUAGAGUACGGAAGAGGCGAGUGGAAUUCCUGGUGUAGCGGUGAAAUGCGCAGAUAUCAGGAGGAACACCGGUGGCGAAGGCGGUCUCUGGGCCGAUGACUGACGCUGAGGAGCGAAAGCGUGGGGAGCGAACAGG